UGUACCUCUAACUUUUGCUGGUUAUUUUAUAAAAUAGGCCCAUUCAUGGCCCAUCUACGAAAUCUGGGAAAUUUCAACAUUGAAAUCGGCCACUAAAUUAAAAGUGGUGGUGGGAGAUAGAAGGAUCCUAUGACACUUCUUAGAUUGUAUCAUUGCUCAGAUUAACAAGUAAGUAUGCAUGUUGCUUUCUUCAACGUCGAGCGAUUUGCUAGUUAUAUGUCUCAUUUGGGACUAGUAUUUUGAUACUAGUAUGAAAAUUCCUGCGCAAUGUGUUGUGAUUUGAUUGAAUUUUGGAGCGAUUUGCUAGUUUUCUGAGAAUUUCCUUGUGUUUGAUUGUCUCCUCAAAAUGGAUGUACGUAUAAUAUUCCUGCAAAGUUGUCUGUUUUACAAUUGUAGACGAGCUUAUGGUUCAAUGAGCUGAUUAGGGAGAGCUAUAUCAUUCUGAUGUGUGAAUCUUUUUUGGUGUUUCAAAAUUCUGAAUUUGUAUGUAGGAAUUUGAACACUCUCUAUGAUUCAUCGAAAGGAAAGGGAUUGCAAAAGCAGCAAUGGGAUGGAGUAGACAGGAACUUGUAAAAGCAGAGAGGAGAGAGCAUUCAAAGCAGCUCCUACUAGUCGUCGUGCUGCUUCUCCGCCGAUCAAAUAGACUGAUUACCAAAUGGCGAUGCUGAAGAGAGUAAAAGUGCGAGAGUAUGAGGGAACUGAUAGUCUGGCUUCCGUUAGGGAUGUUGUUGCAGUUUUUUCUGAAGCAAAACCGGCUGCUUGAGGAUCCUUUAUGUUAGCCCGAAUACUUUCAGGUACUUUAGGCUUUCCAAUUACAAAAUCUUAUUACUAACCAAACAACAAAAUAUAAGAAAGAAAAUAUCAGUUUCAGUCCAUGUUAUUUUGGGCUUAAGGGUAUUCGAAGGCUGUGGAAGAGUUGUAAUGUUUGGUCUGUGCUGUUGGUCAAAGCGGUUGCCACCGAGUGUAGUAGUUCAUUCUUCAAUGUCUGAUGCAUGUUUGAUCUUCUUAUGCAUAUCUCGAGGGUAACUUCCUCUAGCCUUAAAUAUUUGCAUUCCCAUGGGACAUAGAUGGACCUCUCAGGUCACUUCUCUUAUAAUCUUUCCUCUUUCUCUGAUUGUUUGAAUGAGCCUACUCACACUCGAUUCAUAUAUUUGCAGGAGGAGGAUGGCAAAACGAUAUACAUCUCUCCAUCAUCGAAAGCCAUAAGGCACUUAUCCAUAUUAUAUUAAGAGCAAUUGAGGUUGAAUUAUAAGCGGUUUCAGUGGUUAUACAUAACUAAGAUGCGAUCAUUAUAACACCGGAAUCGUUUCAAGUGGCCAGUGAUGCUGACAUUGAGGAGAUGGCUAGGGGAAGCAAUUGAUACAACGGAGGCGAUCUGACAAAUAUGAGUAGGGACGCUCGUCAAUAUAUGGAAAACCUUAGGGAUGAGCUCAAGAGCAUGUCUAAAAGACGAUGUCUUAUCUCGACAAAUCCAAUAGUAAUGUUUGAUUUCGAAGAGGCACUGUACAAGGACGUGCCACAGAUGUCGUGAAACAUGACAAGUGGUUCCCAGAGUUCAGAUUGGCCAAAAACAUCCCGACUUUGAUCGUUACUUUCUUCUACCAUUAAGUUUUAUCUAAAUGAUACUUUUGGACUGUUGUGCACUGACAUAAAAGAUAAAUUUUGAGAUUGGAGGCCUU